rnacentral:misc_RNA from 1 species
GAAAUAUCAUACAAAACAGUUCGCUCACACCAGUUGCACCUAAACAAUAGGAUUUGUAAAAAUUAAAGAUCACUUGUGUGGGCACAAAGCAAAAAGAAGCAUCCUCUCCCUAAUCAUGUAGUUGGUGAUUAGCACCCCUUAUAAAAAUGCGUCCUCAUUUGUCUUACCAUGUAAGAAAAACUCGAAUUCCCCAGCCUUAACCCCUUCAUUCUUCUCUGGACAGCAAAAUCAUUAUUGAAUUCAACGAACUAACUUUUUUCUCUUCUUUUAGACACAUAAAAAUAUACACAUUUCAUAUAUACAUAAUACGUAUAUCUUUUGUCUUCGCAACUAAAUAAUGCAGCAGCUACACAAUGUUUUAAUUGCU